rnacentral:rRNA from 1 species
GUGGGGAAUCUUGCACAAUGGGCGAAAGCCUGAUGCAGCAACGCCGCGUGAGCGAAGAAGGCCUUUGGGUCGUAAAGCUCUGUCCUAGGGGAAGAAAAAAAUGACGGUACCCGAGGAGGAAGCCCCGGCUAACUACGUGCCAGCAGCCGCGGUAAUACGUAGGGGGCGAGCGUUAUCCGGAAUUAUUGGGCGUAAAGAGUGCGUAGGUGGCUUUGUAAGCGCGGGGUGAAAGGCAGUGGCUUAACCAUUGUUAGCCCUGCGAACUGUGAGGCUUGAGUACAGGAGGGGGAAGCGGAAUUCCUGGUGUAGCGGUGAAAUGCGUAGAUAUCAGGAAGAACACCGGUGGCGAAGGCGGCUUUCUGGACUGUAACUGACACUGAGGCACGAAAGCGUGGGGAGCAAACAGGAUUAGAAACCCGAGUAGUCC